rnacentral:lncRNA from 1 species
AACUCCUGACCUCGUGAUCCACCUGCCUUGACCUCCCAAAGUGUCAGGAUUACAGGCAUGAGCCACUGCAUCAAGCAAGAUGGAAUUCUUUAGCCCUGAGUUUGGUGGACUCAGUCAGAGGAGGUUGUAUAUCUAUACUCCCCUCCCACCACAAUUAUAGAGUAAUGGUGUUGAAAGUUUUUUGAACGACCACAUCCUUUUUGCAUGAUAUUGAUGUCAACCUCUAAAUGGACAGGGUGGUAUUAACAUAAGUGGAAAUCAAAAUGAGGCCUUGGGAAUAAAUAAUCCCAGCAUUUUAUUGGCCCCAUUUUCUGAGCUUCCCAGCAAUUUGUCUUCACUCGUGGCUGCCAGUCAGGGUAGGGCACUUGGGAUUUUAAGUUUUAGUGUUUAACUACUAUUGUGAGGUUGGGUAAUUCAUUUUCUUCUAAUUUACUUGGGUCAAGGGACUCUAAGAAACUAUUGAAAAAGUUUUGUUUAAUUAUAUGUAUUUCCAUAAACUAUAUUUCUGAAAAUGUUAUUUACUAAAAUUGUUAACUAUAUGUGAAAUUGUUUUCAAUGCAGAAAACUCAUCUUGUGGCCAAUAUAAUGGCCAAAUAUAAAGGCCAAUUUAUAUGGCUGUUGGCAACUGAAAUGGGGAAAAAAGGGGGUAAGUUUGAGUUCAAGUGUGGAAUGUGAGUUUCCCCAGGCUCAUUGGGACUCAUGACCCACCAAUCUAAACUAUUUUGGGUGUUGUCCUCUUGGGUGACAUUUUGUAGGGUAUUGCUCAGAAAUAGCGAGGCUUUUCUCCAGUGCUAGAUGCAGAAUAAGCCCUUCACGAGGCUUGGGUCGGGCUGUAGCUAUACUUCUUAACGGCUAUCCCUUGGUUACUCCUCUGUUACUAGUGGUGGUCCUGAGGGAUGUGUAAGAGGCAGCAGGAUGAAGUAUCUGUAGUGCUUUAUCCCUUAAAGCACAGGGACCCGUGUGGGUGAUCAUAGGGGUUAUUAUCGUGUAGUGCAUCUCCCUUUUUAGGAAAGUUCACACUUGUCUUCCUUUUUUUUCCUGUAAUGGUAGGACUUAAUGGAGGAUUUAAUGGUAAUGGUUUCUGAAAGUCGAGUAUUUAUUCUUCUGAGUGACUACUGGGUUAAUAUGAAAGAAGUGUGGUUUCAGUUAAGCAUUGACGUCAGUGUGAAGAAGUGACUGUGGCACCCCAGUUCAUACUGAAUUAGCAAAUAAUACAAGAGGAUAGCAAGCUCUCUCACACUUAGACACACACAAUGCGGGAUACUGUCAAUAUACGGUGAGUUGUUCAGUUGCAGUGUAGAAUAUUAAUAUCUUGGGGUGAAGAAAAGAAAGUGCUCCAGAUGCCAUGUGGCACUUGGGGAAGUUCUGUGAAGGUGGGUAGGUUUUGAGGAGCUGGGUAUGUUUUUCACACAUCAAUAAGAAGUGGAUAGGCAGAGUAUAGGAGCCUUGCAGGUGUACAUGGCAGCCUGUCCUUAUAAGCAACACAGGCAGUGAGGCUGACGAGUCUGGGAGUCGUGAGAAGAAGACCCGCAGGACGUCACUGAAGAGCACAGGUAUAUGUGAUCUGUGUUUCUACACUAAUGAUGGAAUAAACUCAUCAGAUUUAAUUUUAUGGAGUCUUGCUCUGUCGCCCAGACUGGAGUGAAG